GGAGCGCGCGCGGGGAAGGCGCGAAGGCUGUGCGUGGCGCAGCGGCCGGACGGCGAGGCCACGAGAGGAGCUCCAAUGCUCCCCAGAAGCGACCGUGCAUGCCGUGGCCAUCUCUAUCCGCCCUUGCCGCCUGGUCCUGCGUUUGCCUUUUGAGAGGCACUGAGUGUUCGUGGCCGAGUUGCCACGCGUUAUUGUCUCAGAGCUGCGGGACUUCACCUGCACUGGAGUCACAGAUAGCGCUGCCUGCUGGAGUGCCGGUGAGGACCGCGUGGGAGCGGACGUUAGCCCCGGGCAUGGCACCUGGCAGGCCCUGCGUGGCGUCUCUGAGAGGUGGGUGCCUGGGGUGCGGGGGCCUUGGCGCCUGCCCUGUUCCGGAAGCCCAGACUUUCCUAGGGAUUACCAGGAAGUUGGGACUACCACUGAUUGCCUCUCAGUGUAUAGUCACCCGUAUUUAGGUCUUUUCAUUAUCUUAACCAUUUUUAGUUUUAUUUAGAUUUAUUGACAGCCAAAGCUGUUUCCUUCCACUGCUGGAAAAGCAUUACUGUUUUAUUUUAAAAUUCACCAUUUGUUUUUUUUUUCCUAAAUAAAGGAAAAUAUUCCUUUAAAUGACUAUGACA
rnacentral:lncRNA from 1 species